GCCUCUAUCUCUCUCUUCGGCCCUUCUCUCUCCAGAUCAAUCAGAAUUCGGAUCAACCCCUCAUUGUCCGUCUCUUUCCACAAAACCACUCUCUAUUCGUGAAACCAACCGCGAAUCUCACAGAAGUUUCCUUCUUCAGCUCAAAAAGCAUACGCCAUGAUUUGAAUCACCAGGAAUUAAUCGGACCACCCCAACCAGAAUGGCGUGGUUCAGUGGGAAAGUCUCUUUGGGGAACUUCCCCGAUCUCGCCGGGGCCGUGAGGUUUGACUGAGCCCUCCAGUUUACACUCUGUUACCACUGAGGAAAUUCAUAGUGGUAGAUCUUCUACCAAUCAACCACCGGGUGUAAAUCCUUCUGAUGAUGCUUCGGAUGCGGUUUCUGAAUUGGUUUCAAAAGAGCAUAAUGCCAUUGUUGAGGAACCUGAAGUUGAGCAACAAGCUGAUGAUAAUGAAGCUGAUGUUAAAGGGCAACAUCUGAGCUCAGGGGAAAAUGCGUCUGACUCUUCAGUGAUUGAAUUGGAGAAGGUGAAGAUGGAGAUGAAGAUGAUGGAAGCUGCAUUGCAAGGUGCUGCAAGACAGGCCCAGGCAAAAGCUGAUGAGAUUGCAAAGUUUAUGAAUGAAAAUGAACAAUUAAAAUCUGCGAUCGAGGAUUUGAAGAGAAAAUCCAAUGAUGCAGAAGUCGAGUCACUGCGAUAGGAAUACCAUCAAAGGGUUGCAACACUUGAAAGGAAGGUGUAUGCUCUUACAAAGGAAAGGGACACGCUUUGGCGGGAGCAGAAUAAGAAAAGUGAUGCAGCUGCUCUUCUGAAGGAAAAGGAUGAAAUAAUUAAUCAAGUUAUGGCUGAAGGUGAAGAGCUUUCAAAAAAGCAGGCUGCUCAAGAAGGACAGAUUAGGAAAUUAAGGGCUCAGAUCAGAGAGUUUGAAGAAGAGAAGAAAGGGUUGAUUACUAAACUUCAGUUAUGAUUUCAGAUCUGUAGAUAACCUGUUGUUGCUGAUAUUGCUACACGGGAGGAGAACAGAACAAGUUGGAAAAUGUGCAAGAAGGGAGAGCUAACUCAUACAACGAAGAACAAAUUGAUGAAGUUAAGAUCAAAUUAGUAGAAUUUGUGAGCUCUCCAUUAUUUAUAAUUAUAGGUAGGAAGUAUGUAUGUAAUAGAGCAAAGAUUGGUUGACUAUGUAAUAACAAUUGAAUUGUCAAGUUUUAUGAAAGAAAUAAUUUUUGCUUCUU